rnacentral:ncRNA from 1 species
CGUUGUGAGGCGGAGUCUGAAAGAAGUCGGAGGCAAAACCUCGGUCUGACGAACAGAAACUGCAUAUAAGGCAUUUUGAAAGGGACGAGUUUCCUAAACAAAACGAAGUCCAAUACUGCCCGAAUUUCAAGGUGUAAAUGCAGCAGAUAUAUGAGGUGAAGGUGA